rnacentral:lncRNA from 1 species
CCGGCUAGAGCUAAUUGGGCGUGAAUUUAGUAUGAAUAGGUCGCCAUCUGGCGUGAAAAGUUUGUAAUCCAACUUUAAACUCGAUUUACUUCACGACAUUGCUCCAAGGAAUAUGUAGAAAUUUUUAUAAAAUGUUAAUUAAUUGGAAAUGGACUACAAACCUUGAACGAGAGACGCGACCUUUGGUGUGAGAGAAUAAAGAUAAACGUGUAAUUUGCCUACGAAAAAGUGUACGUACGAUUGUGAUUACGAGUGUCAUCAAUCGCGAGAAAGACGAAACUCACGGCCAGCUUACUAUAUACUUGCCUACGUGCCCGGUGAACAUCGCUAGAUCUAUCGAUGGAAAAUAAACGGGAAACAAAACGAAAGCGAAGAUAUGUAAAUCUUUCAGUAUCCUCCACAAAGAUUCUGGAUGAGAAAUAGUCGGCGCGUGGUAAGAGACUGGUAUUACUGGAAGACAAAGAAGCUAAGGAAAGAGGAAUAGCGGAAGAUAUAUAUAUAUAUAAGAUUCGCAGCUAAAUCGUCGAUGCUGUUACGUACGAAGAGCAUCGUUCACCGAGCUGGCAAAUGGACAACAUCUGCAAUGGACAGAUACGUGUUGUGAUACGUGUUGAAUACGUGUUGAAUACAUGUUGUGUCUUUAGUACUUAGGAGUGAGAUAGAGAUAGAGAGAAAGAUUUCAGGGAGGAAUUAACUGAAAUCAAGAGUAGGUGGGAGGUCGAAUAGCGUCCUCUCAUUAUGGCCGCCCCUUGGUCCCGGGAUCGUUCGACGAUCCUUGUACGUGUGUCGUCUCUUGUUCACGCUAAAGAUGGGUGUAUAACAAUCGUAUACAGUAUACCUCCAAAUGUACAUUAAUAUUUAUAGAUUUAUAUGCAGGGUGUCGUGUUAAUUGUAGUACAAUCGGGCAAGAUUUUUGAUGAUUUCUUUUCUCGUGAAAAAAUAAGUCGAAAGGAAAAAAUUAAAUUUUUUU